rnacentral:rRNA from 1 species
UACAGAGGGUGCAAGCGUUGUUCGGAAUUACUGGGCGUAAAGCGCGCGUAGGUGGCGAUGUAAGUCGGGUGUGAAAUCCCUCAGCUUAACUGAGGAAGUGCACUCGAUACUGUGUCGCUUGAGUGUUGGAGGGGAUGGCGGAAUUCCCGGUGUAGAGGUGAAAUUCGUAGAUAUCGGGAGGAACACCUGUGGCGAAGGCGGCCAUCUGGACAACUACUGACACUGAGACGCGAAAGCGUGGGUAGCAAACAGG